GAUCCGCGAUACGUCCUGGAAGCCGCCGUGAACCAUCAAUUUUCGAACGCACAUUGCAUACAGGGAGGGUGGGGUGAGUCUACUCUCACAAUCGUGGUUUAAAUACAAAGGAUGACUAAUAAAACCGUCACCCCUCAUUUUCUCCCCCGCCCCCUCAGAUUACCCGCUGAACUUAA
rnacentral:misc_RNA from 1 species